AUGAACGCUGGCGGCGUGCCUAAUACAUGCAAGUCGAGCGAACAGACGAGGAGCUUGCUCCUCUGACGUUAGCGGCGGACGGGUGAGUAACACGUGGAUAACCUACCUAUAAGACUGGGAUAACUUCGGGAAACCGGAGCUAAUACCGGAUAACAUGUUGAACCGCAUGGUUCAACAGUGAAAGACGGUUUUGCUGUCACUUAUAGAUGGAUCCGCGUCGCAUUAGCUAGUUGGUAAGGUAACGGCUUACCAAGGCAACGAUGCGUAGCCGACCUGAGAGGGUGAUCGGCCACACUGGAACUGAGACACGGUCCAGACUCCUACGGGAGGCAGCAGUAGGGAAUCUUCCGCAAUGGGCGAAAGCCUGACGGAGCAACGCCGCGUGAGUGAAGAAGGUCUUCGGAUCGUAAAACUCUGUUAUUAGGGAAGAACAAAUGUGUAAGUAACUAUGCACGUCUUGACGGUACCUAAUCAGAAAGCCACGGCUAACUACGUG
rnacentral:rRNA from 1 species